GGCAUCCACUGCUUACACCAAAGAUUGGUAGCAAAGCUUUCUAACAAGUCUGAACGUCUACUUCAACAACGAUAACCGUAUGGAUGUUGGCUGCCUGCCAUCUGCUCCUCUCUGGAACGAUUCUACCACAGCUGCAAGUGAAUAAGGAAGUUAGUGUGGUGACAUUGUACAAACUCCACUCUUUUGUGCCCAAGGAAGUAAAUUUUAGCAAGCAAACAAGAAUACUGCAGCUGUUACUAAAAAUUUGCCAUUUCCAAAUGAGUGAUUUUCAAGAGGCAGCAAGUUUUAGUUGUUACAAAUAUAGUGAAGGGGCUGGGCCAAUGACACAUAAAAAAAAAGUAAAACUGUACUGUGAAACAACUUCUUUUGUGAAAACUAACACAUGAACAUUGCACAAACAAGAAUGUAAAAAAUAGGGUUUACAAAGAGAUGGUUGAAAAAUUUCUGGACUUAUUCCAAUUUUGGACCACAGUGUAUUUAUAAAAACCAAGCUGCAAAAUUUGAAAGGAAGUUUCAGAAAAAAAUUCUUCAUUUGAGUGACCAUAUUGUCUAUAGCUACUUUAGACUAAUUGAAGGUAUUUUAAAUCCAGGUUUGCAACUACAGUACAAGAAACAAUAGUACCAAAUAAGGAAAUAUCUAAAAAAGCUUGCCAGCAAAUGGCAUUUCCUGAUGUGAGCAAAAAUCUUAAGUACUAACAUCAAUGCCUUUUGUAGCAAACUGUUUUUAGAUGGAGAAAGCAAGCCAAAUGUGUUUCAUGAAGAUUACUGAUGUUAAUUUAUGUCAAUAAAACAAACUACAUUUGGUGGCAAAAAUACACAAUCCCUUGGAGUCACAACAUGGAUUUAAAAUACCUUCACUGAUUUCAGAAAUAACCAAAGGAAAAAGUAGGCCUCUUGAAAGAAUUGUAUAAGGUGGGAAAAUUUGUGUAAACCAACUGCCAAUAAAAUGGUGGUUCUACUGCGUUCAUUAUUGUUGAUUAUUACCCACAGUGUAAUAUUUUACAGGCAUUGUGUAAUUUUUCUUUCAAGAAAUAUAUGAGUACAUACUGUGCAAAGUA